AGUGAACGCUGGCGGUAGGCCUAACACAUGCAAGUCGAACGGCAGCACAGUAAGAGCUUGCUCUUACGGGUGGCGAGUGGCGGACGGGUGAGGAAUACAUCGGAAUCUACUUUUUCGUGGGGGAUAACGAAGGGAAACUUACGCUAAUACCGCAUACGACCUACGGGUGAAAGCAGGGGAUCUUCGGACCUUGCGCGAUUGAAUGAGCCGAUGUCGGAUUAGCUAGUUGGCGGGGUAAAGGCCCACCAAGGCGACGAUCCGUAGCUGGUCUGAGAGGAUGAUCAGCCACACUGGAACUUAAACACGGACCAGGCUCCUACGGGAGGCAGCAGUAGGGAAUAUUGGACAAUGGGCGCAGGCCUGAUCCAGCCAUACCGCGUGGGUGAAGAAGGCCUUCGGGUUGUAAAGCCGUUUUGUUGGAAAAAAAAAGCAGCAGGUUAAUACCCCGCUGUUCUGACGGUACCCAAAGAAUAAGCACCGGCUAACUUCGUG
rnacentral:rRNA from 1 species